rnacentral:rRNA from 1 species
GAUGGACGCUAGCGGCAGGCUUAAUACAUGCAAGACGAACGGUAAGUUGGGUAGCAAUACUUGACCUAGAGUGUCGUACGGGUGCGUAACACGUAUGCAACCUACCUUGUACAGGAGUAUAGCUCGGGGAAACCCGAAUUAACCCUCCAUAAUAUCAUUUGGUGGCAUCAUCGAAUGAUUAAAACUGAGGUGGUACAAGA